AACAAAGACAACAUUUUGGAAAAAGGACUUCCUCGUUUUACAUUUUUAAAGAACCAGUCGUCCGACACGUAUGACCUGCUGAUCAUAAACGUCACUGAUUCUGAUGAAGGACUUUAUUACUGUGGAACAAUUGAACCAAAGGGGAUUGAAAAUGACUACGACUACGGAAACAUCACCACAAGGAUCAAACUCUAUGCAGGGUCUGGUUUCCUGCAUCAGAACAUUUCCAGACCAGUGGAGGAGUGCAGUUCGUGCUGGAAGCUGCUGUUCUCUGUCUGUCCUGCUGUUUCUCUGCUCUCAGCUCUCUUCUCCUCACUGCUGGUCUACCUGCUUUGCCUGAAGAAAGCAAACAAUGAAGCUGAAAAUAAGAGAUGUGACAUUUCAAGGCAAACAGAAGAAGCUCAGGAUGAAAAUGUUUGUUACGCUGCCCUGGAAAUCCAUCCGCCAUCACAGAGGACGAAGAGGAAGAGGACGAUCCAAAGUUCAGAUUUCAGUACAUACUCUGCCAUCAAGACAUGAGGAGAUUCGUAUUUAACACAGAAGUUAAACAGUAAUAAAGGAGUCCUUAGAGUUUUCUUUCAUUUUAUUAACUUCCUCUCAAACUAAAGAUAAAAUACCUAAAAACCUUUAUCUCAACUCUUCUUUUCAGACAACCUUGUCUUAUUUCUAUUUACAUCUCUGUUCAUCAGUGAAGCUCUUUUCAAUCCAGCAAUGACCUUUGCAGGCAGAGCUGCUGUUGCUGCUUGUUUUAAAUUAAAUGUCUAACUUUCAUUGUAGACGUCUAGAGUUCCUCACUGAGACAGCUUAGUCAAAAACAGCAGCGAAGCUCCGACACGCCGUACCCUACUACUCUAAACUGGUUCUAUAUUUCACUUUGCAGAAACUCUACUUACAUUAAAAUUAGUGUUGCGCUGAUGCCAUUUUUUUUG